rnacentral:rRNA from 1 species
GUGGGGAAUCUUCCGCAAUGGACGAAAGUCUGACGGAGCAACGCCGCGUGAGUGAUGAAGGUCUUCGGAUUGUAAAGCUCUGUUAAUCGGGACGAAAGAGCCUAGUGUGAAUAAUGCUAGGAAGUGACGGUACCGGAAUAGAAAGCCACGGCUAACUACGUGCCAGCAGCCGCGGUAAUACGUAGGUGGCAAGCGUUGUCCGGAAUUAUUGGGCGUAAAGCGCGCGCAGGCGGAUCUGCCAGUCUGUCUUAAAAGUUCGGGGCUUAACCCCGUGAUGGGAUGGAAACUACAGAUCUAGAGUAUCGGAGAGGAAAGUGGAAUUCCUAGUGUAGCGGUGAAAUGCGUAGAUAUCAGGAGGAACACCUGUGGUGUAGACGGCUUUCUGGACCAUGACUGACGCUGAGGCACGAAAGCGUGGGGAGCAAACAGGAUUAGAUACCCUGGUAGUCC